rnacentral:rRNA from 1 species
AACGAACGCUGGCGGCAGGCUUAACACAUGCAAGUCGAGCGCCCCGCAAGGGGAGCGGCAGACGGGUGAGUAACGCGUGGGAAUCUACCCAUCUCUACGGAAUAACGCAUGGAAACGUGUGCUAAUACCGUAUACGUCCUUCGGGAGAAAGAUUUAUCGGAGAUGGAUGAGCCCGCGUUGGAUUAGCUAGUUGGUGGGGUAAAGGCCUACCAAGGCGACGAUCCAUAGCUGGUCUGAGAGGAUGAUCAGCCACACUGGGACUGAGACACGGCCCAGACUCUACGGGAGGCAGCAGUGGGGAAUAUUGGACAAUGGGCGCAAGCCUGAUCCAGCCAUGCCGCGUGAGUGAUGAAGGCCCUAGGGUUGUAAAGCUCUUUCACCGGUGAAGAUAAUGACGGUAACCGGAGAAAAAGCCCCGGCUAACUUCGUGCCAGCCGCCGCGGUAAGAC